GAGCUGCUCCCACUCCUCCCUCGGCCCCCGCCCCCGUACCGGCUGGUGGACGCCAUCUCGCCGGUGCCGCAGCGGUGCCGGAGACGGUUCGGGGGAACGUCCCGGUUAUUAAAUACCGGCAGCGGCGGGCGGGGCCGCCGGGCGCUCCUACGGGUCCCGCGAGGGGGCGGGCGGAAGGACAGAGGGCCCCGCCCUCGCCGGGGCCGGCCCAGCGGGUGUUGGGCGGCUGCGGGCCCCGGGUCAGGCCGGGGAGCCUGACCGCGGGCUGCGCCCCCCGAACCGAGGGCGGCUUCGAGACAAAAUCUCGUUGUAAUAAAUCAGAGGAUGCGGCGUGCCCUGGGGCCGUCAUUUAAAGGGUCUGCCCUGGGUUGGAACCUUGCCCUGGGGCCAGGCCCACGAGGAGCGGCCCCGGGCUGCCCGCAGACCCCCUGCACAAAGCCCGCCGUGCUGCCCCCCGGGGCGUGACUCCGGGUCAGCUGUUCUGUGCGAACUCCAGCAGUUUAGUGAAAUGCCGCAGAAAACAAGGGAAAUUGCUAAGAUUGUCAGUUUUAUGCAAGUGAAAAAAGAAAGAAUCUGCAAGACUGAUUUUUUUUUAAUGUCUGUGAGGCCAACAGCUUUCCUACACCAGAAAACAACCUCCUCUGCCCCAUCAAUACAUACCUGUAAUGGAGUUGGGCAAGUAUACAGUGUAUUUUGGUGAACAACUUGCAAAUGCCUUAUCAGGUUUUCAGGGCCAAUGGACCAUCCAAGCUAAGGGAGGAAAGCAAGCAUAAUAAAAUUAAAAAAUAAUGAAAAUUA